rnacentral:rRNA from 1 species
UACGAAGGGGGCUAGCGUUGCUCGGAAUCACUGGGUGUAAAGGGCGCGUAGGCGGACUCUUAAGUCAGGGGUGAAAGCCUGAGGCUCAACCUCAGAACUGCCUUUGAUACUGAGAGUCUCGAGACCGGUAGAGGUAAGUGGAACUGCGAGUGUAGAGGUGAAAUUCGUAGAUAUUCGCAAGAACACCAGUGGCGAAGGCGGCUUACUGGACCGGUUCUGACGCUGAGGCGCGAAAGCGUGGGGAGCAAACAGGG